AGAUUAGUAAGAUAUCUAAAUCUCUAAGUCUUUUAAACUUAUCAUGCCUCAAGGCCUAAUCUG
rnacentral:tRNA from 1 species